rnacentral:rRNA from 1 species
UACGUAGGCGGCGAGCGUUGUUCGGAGUUACUGGGCGUAAAGGGUGUGUAGGCGGUUGUUUAAGUUUGGUGUGAAAUCUCCCGGCUCAACUGGGAGGGUGCGCCGAAUACUGAAUGACUUGGAGUGCGGGAGAGGAAAGUGGAAUUCCUGGUGUAGCGGUGAAAUGCGUAGAUAUCAGGAGGAACACCGGUGGUGUAGACGGCUUUCUGGACCGUAACUGACGCUGAGACACGAAAGCGUGGGUAGCAAACAGG